AUUGAACGCUGGCGGCAGGCCUAACACAUGCAAGUCGAGCGGAUGACGGGAGCUUGCUCCUGGAUUCAGCGGCGGACGGGUGAGUAAUGCCUAGGAAUCUGCCUGGUAGUGGGGGACAACGUUUCGAAAGGAACGCUAAUACCGCAUACGUCCUACGGGAGAAAGCAGGGGACCUUCGGGCCUUGCGCUAUCAGAUGCGCCUAGGUCGGAUUAGCUUGGUGGUGAGGUAAUGGCUCACCAAGGCGACGAUCCGUAACUGGUCUGAGAGGAUGAUCAGUCACACUGGAACUGAGACACGGUCCAGACUCCUACGGGAGGCAGCAGUGGGGAAUAUUGGACAAUGGGCGAAAGCCUGAUCCAGCCAUGCCGCGUGUGUGAAGAAGGUCUUCGGAUUGUAAAGCACUUUAAGUUGGGAGGAAGGGUUGUAGAUUAAUACUCUGCAAUUUUGACGUUACCGACAGAAUAAGCACCGGCUAACUCUGUGCCAGCCGCCGCAGUAAAAC
rnacentral:rRNA from 1 species